rnacentral:rRNA from 1 species
UACGUAGGGUCCGAGCGUUGUCCGGAAUUAUUGGGCGUAAAGGGCUCGUAGGCGGUUUGUCACGUCGGGAGUGAAAUCUUACAGCUUAACUGUGAACUUGCUUUCGAUACGGGCAGACUUGAGGCAUUCAGGGGAGAACGGAAUUCCUGGUGUAGCGGUGAAAUGCGUAGAUAUCGGGAGGAACACCAGUGGCGAAGGCGGGCAUCUGGGCCAACACUGACGCGUGAGG